UUAAUAACUAUAAUUCUAUUUAGGCAAGUGCCUUAAAAACUUUUGACAGCUUCCCAAAACCAAAAUUUAAAAAGGUAUUUUUACCUCUCAAUUAACUGAUAUUUUCCAGAGGGCGCCUGGAACUUAUCAGUAGAAUUUCUUCUCCUCAUCAAAGAAAAUAUUUGACUAAUUUGGCUUAUUUACCUGAUACAUACUUACCUAAAAAGUGCUGUCAAAAGAAAUAAUGGCUCGAUUUUAUUACUGAGUGUUUUAUGUUACAUAAAUAUCCAAACUUCCAUAUAUCAACUAUCUUACAGUAAGUUCUCAUCAAAUCUUUAACCACUGUCAUUUAUAAAUCUUUUCUUGUUUAUAAUCACUGUUUAAUUACUACUAAACUAGUGAAGAACUAGAUUUCAGCAAAUUGAGUACUGGUUACUUAGGAUUGAGUAAACUAAGGACAUUUUGUAGCUUCUUGUUUCAAGUGUUGCUGAUAAAAUGUUUUAAGCUUUAUCUCUUAAGCUGACUGACAAUGCUCCAGUUUACCUCUCUGUGUUACAUUUUUUCAGCUAUAUAACAUCACUCAUAACACAGGCAUUUCAUACAAUUCUACAAGUCAAGCUCUCAUUGAAUAUUGUGAUCUUAUUCUUAAACAUUAUUAAUACAAAGAGGGGGGAUUACUCCCUGAUAUGAUAAAAUUAGUUGCAAGUUGACGAUUGGUGCAUGCUUUACAUAUCCUUAAUUUUGAUCUUCUGGAGGGUGAUAGAUGGUCAGUGGUAGAGGUACAUUUUUCUGAUAAUAUUUACAACAACACUUCCUGUGUGGUAGUCUCCAAUGAGUUCUUCACUAUGGCAUAAAGAUCAUAUCAAGGUGUGGGGCAAGGGGUUUGCUUGUGUUUUUACAGAGGAUCAAUCUGGCCGCCCAGAAAAUGAAUUCAGAUACGAUAUGAAGGAGAACUUCCAACAUCAACAUCCUCUGGAGGAGUCAUUCCAGAAGGUGACCAUCAAAAAACCUCAACAAAAGUCUGCAUGUCAAACACGGAAAACUGAAGCCCACUAAAUAAUAUUACAACAACUCGUGAGCCAAAAGUUGCACAAGUCAUCUUUUUGUGUAGCAAGAAAUUCCUCUAUCAGUGAACUGUUGAAGAAGAAUUUAAUAGGCAUAAGACUUUCUCUUACGGUGUUUACUAAUAUCUCAGGCAUAAACAUCACUCUUCCCCCUAAAGUGCUUGCUCCUGAUGCCCAGUUAAAUUUACCUGUUAAUACUACUAUAAUUACUGAUUGUGUAUGUAUUAAUUGUACUCAUCUACCCUCUUAUUGCAAUUCUUCAAUCAUUGUAAAAUAGUCUUCUAGAUAUAGACUUCCAAAUGGUUGGGUAUUUUUGUGUAAUAACAAAACAUAUCAAGCCCUUUCUUCACACUAUCAAGGUAUUUGUGAGGUGGGAUGCAUUCUUCCUGCUCUAAUAGACCACCUGAAUAUAAGCACAAGAAGCUUCUAGCUCUGCCAUCUGAUUGUCAUGAAAACUUGACACUUUGAGAUCCUGCUGCUGUUGCAAUUGCAGCUGCAUUCCUCCUGCCAGUUCCUGGACUUGUCAUUGGAAUGCAGAAAGAGAUAUCUAAGCUGGCCUGUGCAUAUAGCAAAACAACAAACUUGACUGCUUCUGUAUUAUCUGAACUCAACCAAAAACUGAGAGAAUUGCUAGCUGCAGUGCUUCAGAAUCGCGCUGCUGUGGACUGUUUGAUGUUAAAAGAGCAUGUAAGAUGUGAUCAGUUUCUUAGAAUGUGCUGUUUCAAUUUCUCAAACUACCCAAAAUCAAUUAGAUGAUAUCCCUCAUAUUGUCAAUAAGUUUUUACAAAUGCCUAAGCUCUUUAACUAGUUUUUUUAGUUUCAUUAGAGAUAACUAGUAAUUGUAAGUCUGCCUUUGUUAUGUAUCUGUAUUCCUAUUCUGUUAAUGUAUGUAAGCAAUUUAACUAGUAGUCUGUUAAAACAUAUAUAUAUAUAUAUACAUACAAGUUAUGUCUGUCUUUCAACAUGUUCAAUCUCAGCCAUGUAAUGCAUAUUUCCCACAAAACUAAGAUACCAUAUAAUCCGCAAAGCACUAUAAAACGUGCCCAUGGCACCCUUAAAGCUCAUUUGGAAAAAACAAAAAAGGGGGAGUUAUAUUCCCGGCCACCACAGAACUAUUUAAAUCAUAUCUUAUUUACAGCCAAAACUGCAUCUGAUAUAUUAAAUCAGACAAAAGACAUGUUCAGGGGCCCCCUGAAUAGUCUCUGGCAUGCUGUCACACCUCUCUUAACCCUAAGCAUUUUAUGGCUUUUGUUGCUGUUACUAGGGCCUUUUGUCCUUUGCAGCAUGUGGAAACUCAACCAGCAAGCCUUAAGAGACCUGCAUCAUUUGAAAUUGCUGAUGGCCCCCCAACUUGUAAAUCAUAAGUUCUAAAGUCUUGACUCAUUUUCUGUUAUCAUUAUGUGCAGCCAUUGUGUGUAUGUUUCCUAAAAAUGAGUUCAAAAGCAUUUCUGCACCUUGGUGCAGAGCUACAUAUGUCUCAGCUGAAAAGUCACCCCCCGAUGCCGGAUAUUGAGAAGGGGACAGGAUAGUCAAUGACUGGUUGUCUUGGAGACCUCUGGCAACCUAAGACAGGGCCCUCAUGAUGGAAUGUGGGUACCAAUGAUGGGUCAGUCCAGAUGAGUGUUCCAGGAACACCUAAGACAGGCACUGUCACCCUCAUAAAAUAAAAAAAGGAGAUGUGGGGAGCAGGCUAUGUCCUUCCCCCACUUGCUGAUGUGGCAGGAAUGGAGAACAAAACAUUCUGUACGCAUUCCAUGAGCAACUAACUGGAACCCUGCUGAGCCUACCUUUGCCUGGCUACUGCUGACGUCAAUACUGUGCUUGAUUGUCUAUUGGAUAAUGCUAUGUCCUGGAAUCAUGUAACCCCACUGCAUUAUAUAAACCCUGGACCUUCAUUAAAGUUUUGCUGGCGUGCGUGGGAGCGUCAGCCCUCCCA